GUUCUUAAUUUGUGUGAACCAAAAGCAUGCAAGCAACAGUCAAUUGUUGACAAGUCUGUUGAAUAUUGUUAACAUCACUAAUUGACGAAAACAUGGUGACGCGUAAGUAAUUAUAACAUGCAAUAGGCUAGCAUGUAUCAGUAUGUGUUUUUACAUAUACGAUGCUUAAAGAAGUUUUGUGCUGCAUGGUUAUAUACUGAUAUGAACUCUUGCUUUAUAUGUUUAAUGUUGUGUGCAUGACUCGAUAUGUAUGUUUUGUUUUACUUGUUGUUAUGUCGGUUUUAAAAGCUCUUCAGAGCUUAUGUUUGUAAUUGCUUGCUUAUACCAUGGAAGUAAUAUUGAAAGGAAUAACAUCGUCGUCACUUCAAAGGUUUCCUCUGCGUUACCGCCCAUCUUUCGAUAACUCGUCAAUUGGUUCAAUAGCUGGCAUGGAAGUUGAUUCUCCGCAUGUGAUCGAUCAAAUCACAGACACUUAUCGGUCAUUUUCGUGUUCACGGAGAAUUACGAACAGACAAGCUUUUGUCGUAUAUAUACGUGCGAGGUAACCCGAAUAGUCCAUUCGUUACAUUCCGUUGAUGUACGCUGCCGAAUAGAGUCUUUCGUUCAAUUUUUAUUUUAGUCCAAUUUUUUCCUAUUUUUGGUUAGUUUGAGUCUGAUUAGUUUAAACAGACACCUAUCACAUACGAAAUUGGAGAACAAGGCUGGGUCAUUUUCAAUUUUAAUAUUUACAUACAGUUAAAAAAAAAAAAAUUUCCGUAAGUUAAGAAGAUGAUUGUACAAAAAAUACGUUUGGACCCCCUAUAUUAAAUACGAAAAAUCUAAGUCUUUCGUGUAUUAGUCAAUUAAAAUAUUCACAAUUCUAAAAGAUUCUAUCCUUCAAUUUAAGUUCUUGAUACAACUAAUUUGUGUAAAAAUGAAUUUGCCGUAAGACAGAUAGAUUCAAGCCCAUUUCGUCGGUUUGUUAUAUUUUUUAUAUAUUUACGAAAAUAUUAUCCCCAUUUUAGUUGUCCAGUUUCAAUAAUGUAAUCAAUGAUAUGACAUUUAUGACAUGUACAUAAAUUUAGAAUACUUGAAAGUAAAUAUCCUUCUUUUUCAAUCUCGAUAAACUUUGCACAUUUCAACAGUAAACAAAUCUAUGUCUAGAUCUGCCUACAUUAUUUUGUUGAACAUCAUGUGAAACCUGAUCGAUUCAUCGGUAUUUAACUGUUUAACUCGGGAUCCGCUUUUAACCCGAAAAUACUUUUAGAACAGUUUUAAACAAACGGUAAAAAGCAAAAAUGUGCUAAAUUAAAUACAAUUUUCCAUGCUAAACUGUUGUAGUUUGAACAGUUCUCGUCUGUUUUUCAAGUUUUUUACAUCAUACGACUUCAUCUGAAGGUAGAGAUUGUAUAUGAUACAGUACCACCUUCUCAGUAAUAAUAAACCUCGGAUUUAACACAGGUACUCUAUAAUUACCGGACUCGAUAAAAUCAGGUGACUGAUAAGAAAUUCGAGAUGCCAUUUUACAACCGCGGUAUCACAGAUAGUAACCAAAGGGAUCUUACCGCUGAGACUAUAAUUGGAUAAAAUCAUAUGACUUUAGUACAGGGCUCUGCAGGCCGUUAAUACAUGCUAAUUAGUCGAUGUUAUUCCUUUUAAAUAUUACUUCCAUGCUUAUACCGACUCUAAAUAAAGCUUUAUGUCUUAUGUCUUAUAGCUAAUACACAAAAAAUGUAAACAUUACCAAAAUUUCAGGAUAAACACACAGGCACUUGCCUGUGGAUAAACAUGUACAAAUGAACUAUACAAUAUCAGAAAUGCCUCAGUUUUAUAAAUUUCAAUUUCAUCAUAACACAUUUAAGUUACUUGUCCUAUUCUGUUAAUCAUUUGUAUCGUAUUGUCAUAAAGGAAUUACAAAGGUAAUAAGACGCACCAUGGCCAUGCAGGCAGAAACACAGUUGAAAUAGAACAAAACAAUCAAAGCUCUUUGUUAGAGAAGGCGAUAAAUGCUUACUGUAAUGUUUAGUAUAGUAACAAAAAUUUUAAAAGUUAAUAGAAACAAAUAAAACGACAAUUUUCUUUUCAAUUAUGAAGUGUUUUAUUUUAAAAACACCAUUUGCUUGAGUUUCAAAUUAACUACUACAUAGUAAUGCAGAACAAUUAGAUAUCAGGUCGACGACAUGGGUAUCUAUCAAGGUGGAUGUAGGAAAUGCAUAACCUCCGAUUUAAAAAAAAAAUUACCAUGGACAGGGAACAUAUCAAUCUAUUAGUUCAGUAAUUUUUGUGUCUGCCCUUCCAUUAUGUUACUCAAGAAUGCAAGAACAAAUUCCAAAAAUGGGUAACAAUUGUAUCGAAAAGAGAAAAUCGAGCACCUUUUUAUGUAAGGGCGUGUUUGAGGUGUAUAUAUUUUGUCUUUAAAACGUACAAAGCAAGAGUAUUAUAUCAAAGCUACAGGUUGACUUUAUAACAUAAAAAAAUCACAGUACGAAAAGAUGAAAUAUAUAUGGGUCAAGUGAAAUACCUAUGUAAUGAAUCACAAAAACAGAGUAGGUGUGUUCGAAAAGCUAUUUUUUUAUAAAAGUACUUGACGAAAGUCUUUUAACAUUGUUUAAGUUGGUUGAUGACAAUGCAUAUUUUCGAAAAAAUAUAUUUUUUUGUGUGUGAUAACUAGGGUUUAUAAUCUUCAACCACUGAAAUUUUUUAGUCUGCCCUUCCAUGAAAUAUUUGAUUAGAAUUUUUUUAAAUGUUUACAGUUUAAGAAUUUUCGAAAAUUCCACCUAACAACCGAUCAGACAAAAUUAAAGUUUUAAAUUGAAUCAAUGCAGACAAAAUCAUUUACUGAUGCUCAUUAGCUAGUAGAUACAUUUGUCUUUUAAAAUACAACUGACAUAUAAGGAUCGUAAUGGUGUAAUGUGGAUAAAUUUAUCGGUUUUCAAGAGCAAAAUUGGCAGCGCGUCAUCCCUACAAUGGCUUCCAUUUCUACAAUUGUGAAAAUGAGCUGGCGUAAUGGGGAGAUAACUUUGAUGAAGUAGAAUCCUGACUGCAAGGGGGUCCUUGCACAACUGGUACCAAGAUUUCCCGAGGAUUACAAGAACAAGAUUUAUAUCCCAAGGACAAAUUGAUUUGUCCCAAAAACAUGAUUUUACACGCUGCUAUACUGCUUAAACUUGUAUAAUUAUAAGGUCUAAGACGUGUCAGUCGUAAAAACUCAAUAGAAAUACAUGUGUACAAGUUAUCAGGUUAUCUUCAAGAAAUAGAUUGGUAUGCAAUUUUUAAAGUUGUCUAUCUUUAUAAUAAUUACAUCCCCCAUAAAAAUGAUAUUGUUUUCAACAGAGACUUUAAUAAGUAUUAUACAUGUCUCUGUUUUCAACAAGUAAUUUGCAUAUAUAACUUACAAGACAUGCUUAUCAAUUUCCUGAAGUUAAAUUGCAUUUUUGCGUGUAAACACAACUAAUUCCUUAAAGUAUAUACUGUAAUAUUAUUUUAAGUAGAAUGGCAACAUGAGGUCGGGACAAAUUAAUUUGUCCUUUGGAUAUUAAUUUGUUUUUGUAAUCCUCGGGAAAUUGUGGUACCAUUGCACAUCGCUUUCAUGUCAAUCUACGUUGUAACACGAAGACAUCAAAGUUGAUCUGCCCAAGUCAUUCCAUCCCAAGUCCAACUAGACCAAUAUUUAAAACUGAUCCAAUCCCAAUAUUAAAGGAUAUUUACAUGUGUAAGGAAUAAAUAUGCAGAUAUACUGUGAUGUCCACAGUGUCUGAGCGAUCAUCGACUUCAUAAACAUCAUGCAUUGUCAGUAAUGUAUUAACAUACAAAUAGAGUAGUCCUUGAAAAUGUUUUAAUUAUUCUGAAGGGACAGAAAAAAUUUUAAUUGACGAGUUCACAAAACAUUGAAGAACUUUCAAAACAAGGAUUUCCUGAAUUUUUGACAUACUUUAGUUGUUACUCAAAAUAUUAUGGAUGACAUUUUUGUCAAUUUGCAACAGCAUAGUGUAUUGCACUAAAGCAACAAAAAUGAAUUUAAAUUCAAAACACAUAACCAAUUAAGUUCUUUGACUACUGUUAUUCUGUGUCAGAAACUUAUUAUGUGUCAAAUAUUUAUUACAAUCCAAAUUCAAACCUGCAUUGAAUGCCUAUGUAGGCCUGUAUCAAGUGUGAAUAGCCCCAACUGUUCAGGGUUGGACUUCUGCGGUUGUAUCCAGCUGCCCUCAGUAAAGCAAUUUAUUUUAUGAUGAAAUCGUCUCCAGGAACAUGAUGAAAAAUACAUGAACUAGAAAAACCAACAACUACAUAAUAUAAACCUGAUCAGUAUUAAUCUCACAAAAACCCAGACUAAAUUUCAUAACCAUCAAAUCUAUGGAACAUUGCCUUCCUUAGCAUGUUUUAUAAUUGACAAAAUUUCAUAUGGAAAAAAUAUAACAGUACUAGAUAAUCAUGAAAUUUUGUCCUCGGAAAUCUUUUUUGUAGUAGAAUUGAUUUAAAAGGCAAGACAACACUUAAAAAUAUUUUAGUUAGGAUAGUCACACAUGUAGGAAAGCAAUUUCUUUUUUUUUCACAAAGAAAAAUUGAAGUUUCAAAUGUUUUUAAAUAGUCUUCAUGCCUAUAUAUCUUAUUAAAAAAAAACACUUUUCCACAUCAGGACAAUAAAAGAUUUUGAGUAGGCAGCUAUUUACUGAGUAGGUAGGGUUAGGGCAAACAAACAUACUUUUUUAUGGCCUUACAUUCCCCUGACAGAUACCAUUUUUACUGUUGAGUGUUAUUGAAAAAUUUAGAAAAAUUGGGUAAAAGGUUAUGAAACACAUCAAAAAUUUGUUUUAACACAAUGUAAAUUAAUAUGUUGUACAGUUGAAAUUGUAGCAGAAAUAUUGUUUUUCAGCUGUUUUGCAUUUGUUAGGUAAACUGUUGUUUCUACAGAUAUUUUGGACUUGUUAAUUUUAAGAUAGAAUGUGCAUACACUUACAAAUCCUUUGUUGAUUUUCUCUGGCCUUAUACAUGUACAUUGUAUCUGGACAUGCUUGUCAAUACAUGAACAAUGUAUAUAUGUAAAUGUAUGUACAUGAAGAUGAAGUUUUUACAUGGAAGAAUAAAAAUAAAAGUAUUUUCUUCCUACAAUAAUUAUAUUGAUUAUUUAGCAAAAAUGAUGUGUUAUUUUUAUAAAUGACAAUGAAUUUGAAACAAUGUAAAUAUUAAAUGAUCUAACUGUUAAAGCAAAAAGUUUAAUCAAAUUAUGCAAAUUAACAAAAAUACCCAAACCAACCAUAUCCCAUUUAUUUGUUAACGGCCUAGCCACAAUCAGAUGUGCAUUUUGUGUUUCACAUGAAGUCAAAAAUGAGUAUCACCUCAGGGAAAAACUCUUUUGAUAUUUUGGUUCAAAAAUGGUUUAAAUUAUGAAAAAUUGCCAUCGUUAGGCUAACACUGGAAGCAUUUAUAAAAUUACAUGCAGUUUUUGAAAGAAAUAUUUGAUAUUUUUAUUAAAUAAAUGGUGUUUAAAAACUGUAUAAUUUUCUUUAAUGGUUGCCUUCAAGACAUGGUCACCAGUGACAGAUUUUUGGUCAAUGACAAAGACAACAAAAUAUGUUUAGAACUAUAGAAUAUCAAACAUUUUAAUUGAAAAAAAAAUAACAAGAACAUGUUUGACUCACAGUUAUUUCAAACAACAGUAGCUUUCUUUGAUCAUUAAUCUUAUCUGAUAAAACUGUAUCUAAAAUUAUCCAUAAAUAACAAAACUUCCAAAAGAACCCUUUCUUUUGGUGUAUAGAACAUUAAAAUAACUUGAUGCAUGUUCUUACAAUAAACAAUCAAACUUUGCAAUACAAUUUAUAUGUUUUGUCUACGGACAAGACAAAUGUAUUCAUAUUUAAUGAAAUGCAUUAUUAAAACCUAAUUUUGAUAUAGCUGAAAGUGUUAUCUUGAAAAAAAAACAUACAUUUUAUCAGGUUUAUCUAUCAAAUGAUGCUUAACUUCGAGGAAAAUGGAAACAAAUACAUUUUGAUAAUGUCUACGGACAAGACAUUUUAUUGAUAUUCAAUUAAAUGCUUUCAAAGAUGAUUGUUAAAGUUAAGAUUAAAAGUUACUAAUUAAGUUUUAAGCGGUUUUUUUUAAUUUUGGAAAAUAUAAAAAUGUACCCAUAAUUCUUUACAUAUCUCAAUAAUUUAUUGAUUAAGCCAAAAUGAAGACACAUUCUUUUAACUGAAAUCCAUAUAUAUCUGACUGUUUAAAACAAUCAAACUAUCAUUAAAACUCAAUUUUGACAUAGUUGAAUGUGUUCUCUUGAAAAAAUAUCAUACAUUUUACCUACCAAAUUAGGCUGAACUCAAGGAAAUUGGAUACAAAUAUAUUGUGGUAAUGUCUACGGACAAGACAAUUUCAGUUAAAAAAAAAAUCUGUUAGAAUUAAUUGUGACUAUAUUUAUGUUGAAAAUACUGAGUUUUAAUUUGAAUAGAUAACUUUCAUCACCUAUAAAUAAGAUUUAAGUUCCAUAGCAGACAAAUAAUGGAAUUUAAUACUUGUUAUGUACAAGUGUCUUGUCCGUAGACGCUUCCUCAUCUGCUGUUAAUACUGAAAUGCAAAAGAUAAAGUUAGAGAGAGAGAAAUACUUUUUCUUCAUUUGAUUUAGUUAAUCUUUUAAGGUAUGCAGCAACUGGAAUAAACAAUAUUGAAGUAAAUUAAGGUAUGCUUUUUUAUGACUGAUAAUCUGACACUUUUUAAAAUCCACUCCUGUAAAGUAAUUUUACAAAAAUUGAGAACACUUAAAUUACCAUUUAUUUAUUAAAAAUAAGAUAUUUCUAAGUUUAAACAACACAUAGGACUAAUUAAGACCCAUAAAGCCAAGCAAUAUUGAUAAAAAGACAUGUCUACGGACAAGACAUGUGUCUACGGACAAGACAUUCUGACAUAUUUUUGAAUUUUUUCCUCUAUUAAUAGAUGGUAGAAAAAAAAUGUUAGUAGUGUUUUCAUAUCUACAAAAGAACAGGAACUUAGCAAUGCAACAUUAAUGUAAUUAUGCUUCCAGUUUACUAGGGAAUGCAUGUCUACGGACAAGACAUUUUUUCACUUUAUUUGUAUAUCCAACUUUGAUGGCAUAUAUCUCCAGCUAGGGUACUGCAAUUUUGAUAAAUGAGGUAGUUUUUGAUAAUGUAUAUACUAAAAGAGAAAACAAAACACAUAAUAGCAUAAAUUUGAUUUAUUUUUCUCUUUUAUCACUACACUGAGCAAGCUAAAAACAAAAGUACAAAAUUUCAUAACGAGCGCAUAGUAUUCAACUUUUUAUCAUAACUUUGUAACCACUGAAGAUUUUUUGUUGCAACAAACAGUAAAAGAAAGAUGAAUAAAUUGUCUAUAGCAAUGAACCAAUAAUAUAGUUCAAAUGAAGUUCACUUAUUAACUAUCAAUUGAUAAAAACAGCGAAAUUUUAAAUGAAACAACAUAACGUGAAAUUUUGCCCAUUUUCAGCGUGUAUUUUAGUGUUUUUUUUCAAAACGGUAACACCUAUACAUAAUAUUUGAUAUUCAUUGUGAAGCCCUACAUUCUCUUCUUCAGUUCAAAGAUGUAUUACUUAUGUAAAGUUUAUCUUCUUGUCUUUACAAGCCUAUAACAUAGACCCAAUAUGAAAUGCACAUCUGAUCUUGGCUAGGCCGUUUGUUUUUAACUGGACUUUCGAUUGUGUUUGUUAUUUAUUUUGUUAUGUUAUUUGCUGUCUUUUUAAUUGUUUUAUGUUUUCAAAGAAAAUCAUCUGUUGGCAUGCUAGUUAAAAUGUUGAAAAUGAAAUGACUCUUAUAUAUUGAAUCAAGCAGUUUAUAUCAAAGAGACUGGACUCUAAUUGUGAACAAGAUGAUAUAUUGUAUCAGAAAUACCUAUCAGAUUUCCUGAUAUUUCUUAAAAAAAGGAUUAGUCUUGAACAAGAAAUAGUUGUUUUUACUUACAUGUACAUAUAUAUAUAUAUAUAUACUUAUCACUUUGUCUAUAUUCCAGUUUGGAAGACUGGUAUUUCUAUAAACAUGAUAAUAUAAUGAAAUAUAUUUUAAAGUUUUGUGAAGUAAAUAUUUUAUCUCCAAUAUUUUGAAAAUCUUAAAGCAAAAGAGGAAUUUAAUUAGUAUUUUAUUAUAAAACCUUUCUAUAUUUUAGUACCAACAGAAGCAGUAGCUUUCCUGGGUGCGGUAGGAGCAUUUCUGUUUGUGUUGAUUAUCUUUUUUAUGUACCUGAACAAACUGUUAUGCUUCCAGACGUGUGGAGGGUUUCCAUGU
rnacentral:lncRNA from 1 species